CCGCCCAAGAGUUCAUAUCGACGGCGGUGUUUGGCACCUCGAUGUCGGCUCAUCACAUCCUGGGGCUGAAGUAGGUCCCAAGGGUAUGGCUGUUCGCCAUUUAAAGUGGUACGCGAGCUGGGUUUAGAACGUCGUGAGACAGUUCGGUCCCUAUCUGCCGUGGGCGCUGGAGAAUUGAGGGGGGCUGCUCCUAGUACGAGAGGACCGGAGUGGACGCAUCACUGGUGUUCGGGUUGUCAUGCCAAUGGCACUGCCCGGUAGCUAAAUGCGGAAGAGAUAAGUGCUGAAAGCAUCUAAGCACGAAACUUGCCCCGAGAUGAGUUCUCCCUGACUCCUUGAGAGUCCUGAAGGAACGUUGAAGACGACGACGUUGAUAGGCCGGGUGUGUAAGCGCAGCGAUGCGUUGAGCUAACCGGUACUAAUGAACCGUGAGGCUUAACCUU
rnacentral:rRNA from 1 species